GCAAUGCCGCGUGCAGGAUGAAGGCCUUCGGGUUGUAAACUGCUUUUGUACGGAACGAAACGGUGAGCUCUAAUACAGUUUGCUAAUGACGGUACCGUAAGAAUAAGCACCGGCUAACUACGUGCCAGCAGCCGCGGUAAUACGUAGGGUGCGAGCGUUAAUCGGAAUUACUGGGCGUAAAGCGUGCGCAGGCGGUGAUGUAAGACAGAUGUGAAAUCCCCGGGCUCAACCUGGGACCUGCAUUUGUGACUGCAUCGCUAGAGUACGGUAGAGGGGGAUGGAAUUCCGCGUGUAGCAGUGAAAUGCGUAGAUAUGCGGAGGAACACCGAUGGCGAAGGCAAUCCCCUGGACCUGUACUGACGCUCAUGCACGAAAGCGUGGGGAGCAAACAGGAUUAGAUACCCUGGUAGUCCACGCCCUAAACGAUGUCAACUGGUUGUUGGGUCUUCACUGACUCAGUAACGAAGCUAAC
rnacentral:rRNA from 1 species